GUGUGUGUGUGUGUGUGUGUGUGUGUGUGUGUGUGUGUGUGUGUGUGUAUAUAUAUAUACACACACACACACACACACAUAUAUAUACACACAUACAUA